GGUGGUUGUAGUUCAGUUGGUUAGAACGCCUGAUUGUGGUUCAGGAGGUCGCCGGUUCAAGUCCGGUCUUCCACCC
rnacentral:tRNA from 2 species